rnacentral:rRNA from 1 species
CAGCAGCCGCGGUAAUACGAAGGGGGCUAGCGUUGCUCGGAAUUACUGGGCGUAAAGGGCGCGUAGGCGGACAGUUAAGUUGGGGGUGAAAGCCCGGGGCUCAACCUCGGAAUUGCCUUCAAUACUGGCUGUCUUGAGUACGGGAGAGGUGAGUGGAACUCCGAGUGUAGAGGUGAAAUUCGUAGAUAUUCGGAAGAACACCAGUGGCGAAGGCGACUCACUGGCCCGUUACUGACGCUGAGGCGCGAAAGCGUGGGGAGCAAACAGGAUUAGAUACCCUGGUAGUCCACGCUCGUAAACGAUGAGUGCUAGUCGUCGGCUAUGCAUGCUAUGUCGGUGACGCAGCUAACGCAUUAAGCACUCCGCCUGGGGAGUACGGUCGCAAGAUUAAAACUCAAAGAAAUUGACGG